rnacentral:pre_miRNA from 1 species
CUGGCCUCCAGGGCCUUGUACACCCUAGGCUUUCAUUCAUUGUCUGCACAUCCAGUGAAGGCCUACUGUGUGCCAGGCCCUUUGCCAG